AGUUAUAUGCUUGUCUCAAAGAUUAAGCCAUGCAUGUCUAAGUACACACGAAUUAAAAGUGAAACCGCAAAAGGCUCAUUAUAUCAGUUAUGGUUCAUUAGAUCGUUAACAGUUACUUGGAUAACUGUGGUAAUUCUAGAGCUAAUACAUGCAUUAUAAGCACGGACCUUUUGGAACGUGUGCUUUUAUUAGGCUAAAACCAAGCGAUUCUUUCGGGGAUCGUUGACUGGUUGAACUCUAGAUAACUUGCAGAUCGUAUGGUCUAGAACCGACGACAGAUCUUUCAAAUGUCUGCCCUAUCAACUAUUGAUGGUAGUAUCUAGGACUACCAUGGUUGCAACGGGUAACGGGGAAUCAGGGUUCGAUUCCGGAGAGGGAGCCUGAGAAACGGCUACCACAUCUAAGGAAGGCAGCAGGCGCGUAAAUUACCCACUCCCAGCACGGGGAGGUAGUGACGAAAAAUAACAAUACAGGACUCGUAUCCGAGGCCCUGUAAUUGGAAUGAGUACACUUUAAAUCCUUUAACAAGGACCUAUUGGAGGGCAAGUCUGGUGCCAGCAGCCGCGGUAAUUCCAGCUCCAAUAGCGUAUAUUAAAGUUGUUGCGGUUAAAACGUUCGUAGUUGAACUUGUGCUCCAUACGGGUAGUACACCUAUAAAUUGGGUUUGUACAUUACUCUAUGGUAUGUGAGCGUAUUACCGGUGGAGUUCUUAUAUGUAAUGGUACUUGUAUUAUUGCAUAUUCCUCCUAUUCAAACCUACUUCAGUGCUCUUCAUCGAGUGUUGUUGUGGGCCGGUACAAUUACUUUGAACAAAUUAGAGUGCUUAAAGCAGGCUUCAAAUGCCUGAAUAUUUGUGCAUGGAAUAAUGGAAUAAGACCUCUGUUCUACUUUCAUUGGUUUAUAGAUCAAGAGG
rnacentral:rRNA from 1 species